CCCCUGUCUCGUCUUUCCUCCAAGCUAUACAUGUUAAGAUCCUUUAACCUUUCCUGGUAAGUUUUAUCCCGCAAUCCAUGAACCAGUUUAGUAGCCCUUCUCUGAACCCUCUAAGGUAUCAAUAUCCUUCUGAAGAUACGGUCUCCAGUACUGUGUACAAUACUCCAAGUGAGGUCUCACCAGUGUUCUGUACAAUGGCAUGAGC